rnacentral:rRNA from 1 species
UACGGAGGGGGCUAGCGUUGUUCGGAAUUACUGGGCGUAAAGCGCACGUAGGAGGACUGUUAAGUCGGGGGUGAAAUCCUGGGGCUCAACCUCAGAAUUGCCUCCGAUACUGGCAGUCUCGAGUUCGGAAGAGGCGAGUGGAAUUCCCGGUGUAGCGGUGAAAUGCGCAGAUAUCGGGAGGAACACCAAUGGCGAAGGCAGCUCGCUGGGACGUUACUGACGCUGAGACGCGAAAGCGUGGGGAGCAAACAGG